rnacentral:rRNA from 1 species
AGGAUAAACGCUGGCGGCGUGCCUAACACAUGCAAGUCGAACGUCUCUUCUUUCGGGAAGAGGAGUGGCGGACGGGUGAGGAACACGUGGGAACCUGCCCUCAGUGAGGAAUACCGGCGAGAAAUCGCCGACAAGACCGCAUAGCCUCUCUGGUGAGAGCCAGAGAAGGAAAGCUUCGCAAGAGGCGCUGGAGGAGGGGCCUGCGUCCGAUUAGCUAGUUGGUGGGGUAAGAGCCUACCAAGGCGUCGAUCGGUAGCUGGUCUGAGAGGACGAUCAGCCACACUGGGAUUGAGAACGGCCCAGACUCCUACGGGGGCAGCAGUGAGGAAUUUUCCGCAAUGGACGAAAGUCUGACGGAGCAACGCCGCGUGCAGGAGGAAGGUUUUCGGAUCGUAAACUGCUUUUCUCGGGGACGAGCAAGGACGGUACCCGAGGAAGAAGCCCCGGCUAACUACGUGCCAGCAGCCGC